UACGUAGGGAGCAAGCGUUGUCCGGAAUCAUUGGGCGUAAAGAGCGUGUAGGCGGCCAGGUAGGUCGGUUGUGAAAACUGGAGGCUCAACCUUCAGAGGUCGACCGAAACCAUCUGGCUAGAGUCCGGGAGAGGAGAGUGGAAUUCCUGGUGUAGCGGUGAAAUGCGCAGAUAUCAGGAAGAACACCCGUGGCGAAAGCGGCUCUCUGGAACGGUACUGACGCUGAGACGCGAAAGCGUGGGGAGCAAACAGG
rnacentral:rRNA from 1 species